rnacentral:lncRNA from 1 species
CUCCGACAUUACCCUAGGCCCGUGUCCCUUCAACCGUCCAUUAACCGGCUACACGGAACGCUAGGCUUGGCUACUCCGCUAGCCAAGGGACGACCCAUGUCCUAUGGGUCGACGGGGGAGUCGGGGCCACUUACGAAGUGUCCACCCCUCCUCUAAUACCCUUACGAGGCAUCCACUCCUUUGGCACCCCGGGGGUACAAAGGUGCUCACCGAGGGGUACGUUUUCAAGCCCCGCAUGCGGCACCUAUUUCCAAGUCAUGGCAUGGGCCAUUGCUAGGGAAUUGCCUCCGUUGACUUGACAGCGACUCCUACCUGACGGAACACCUCAACUCCGCAACUCCAUAACUUCGUCAACCCAAAUGCCUACCAAGUAUGGCCCUCAAAGGUGUCACGGUCGAGACCCAACGAUCGACCCGUGACA